GACGGAGGGUGCGAGCGUUAUUCGGAAUCAUUGGGCGUAAAGAGCGUGUAGGCGGCGGGUUAAGUCAGGUGUGAAAGCCCGGGGCUAAACCUCGGAAGUGCGCUUGAAACUGGAUGGCUUGAGUGCGGGAGAGGGACGCGGAAUUCCUGGUGGAGAGGUGAAAUACGUAGAUAUCAGGAGGAACACCGGUGGCGAAGGCGGCUUCCUGGGCCGAAACUCACGCUGAUCCGCGAAAGCGUGGGGAGCAAACAGG
rnacentral:rRNA from 1 species